rnacentral:snoRNA from 1 species
GUGUGGUGGGAAUGAUGAAAACAAUUAGAUGUGUGAGUUGGGCAUUGCUCAGUGAACGCAACAACUUUGAGGCAUAUCCAUUCCUUCCUGACCCGCCACUG